UACGGGAGGCAGCAGUGGGGAAUAUUGCACAAUGGGCGCAAGCCUGAUGCAGCCAUGCCGCGUGUGUGAAGAAGGCCUUCGGGUUGUAAAGCACUUUCAGUGAGGAGGAAAACCUUAUGGCUAAUAUCCAUGAGGCUUGACGUUACUCACAAAAGAAGCACCGGCUAACUCCGUGCCAGCAGCCGCGGUAAU
rnacentral:rRNA from 1 species